GCGCCUCUCCCGCCACACCUGCCUGCAAGCUGAGGGAGCCGGCUCCGGCCUUGGCCAGGCUAGAAAGGGGCUCCCACAGUGCAGGGGCGGGCUGAAGGGCUCCUCAAGUGCCGCCAAAGUGGGAGCCCAGGCAGAGGAGGUGCCGAGAGCGAGCGAGGGCUGCGAGGACUGCCAGCAGCUGUCACCUCUCGUUACCAUCACUCCUAGUGACCAUUUUGGAUAAUCCACCUUGCCUCAUCAAACCAGAAAACAAUUCAAACCUGUCCUCCUUCUAACUGGAAGCCACAUUUUAAGAACUUAUUGUGAAGAACUGGAAAGCCUCCAAUAGAACAGAAGCUAAAAGCAGAAAUUAUAAAAGCUGUUACACCUACUCAGCUC
rnacentral:lncRNA from 1 species